GGUUGUAAACUCCUUUUGUACGGAACGAAAAGCUCUCUUCUAAUAAAGGAAAGUGAUGACGGUACCGUAAGAAUAAGCACCGGCUAACUACGUGCCAGCAGCCGCGGUAAUACGUAGGGUGCGAGCGUUAAUCGGAAUUACUGGGCGUAAAGCGUGCGCAGGCGGUUAUGUAAGACAGAGGUGAAAUCCCCGGGCUCAACCUGGGAACGGCCUUUGUGACUGCAUAACUUGAGUACGGUAGAGGGGGAUGGAAUUCCGCGUGUAGCAGUGAAAUGCGUAGAUAUGCGGAGGAACACCGAUGGCGAAGGCAAUCCCCUGGACCUGUACUGACGCUCAUGCACGAAAGCGUGGGGAGCAAACAGGAUUAGAUACCCUGGUAGUCCACGCCCUAAACGAUGUCAACUGGUUGUUGGGAAUUAACUUUCUCAGUAACGAAGCUGACGCGUGAAGUUGACCGCCUGGGGAGUACGGCCGCAAGGUUGAAACUCACGGGAAUUGACGGGGACCCGCACAAGCGGUGGAUGAUGUGGUUUAAUUCGAUGUCACGCGAAAACCUUACCCACCCUUUGACAUGUUCCGAAGUGACCCCAGAUG
rnacentral:rRNA from 1 species